rnacentral:rRNA from 1 species
AGACGUAGGUGGAAAGAGGUGGAAGGAUUUAGUGGGUGUAAAGGGAGCGCAGGAGGUUUCUUAAGGCUGAUGUGAAAGCCCCGGGCUCAACCGGGGAGGGUCAUUGGAAACUGGGAGACUUGAGUGCAGAAGAGGAGAGUGGAAUUCCAUGUGUAGCGGUGAAAUGCGUAGAUAUAUGGAGGAACACCAGUGGCGAAGGCGACUCUCUGGUCUGUAACUGACGCUGAGGCUCGAAAGCGUGGGGAGCAAACAGGAUUAGAUACCCUGGUAGUCCACGCCGUAAACGAUGAGUGCUAAGUGUUGGAGGGUUUCCGCCCUUCAGUGCUGCAGCUAACGCAUUAAGCACUCCGCCUGGGGAGUACGACCGCAAGGUUGAA